rnacentral:rRNA from 1 species
UCGGAUUCACUGGGUAUAAAGGGUGCGUAGGCGGCCUCGUAAGUCAGGGGUGAAAUAUGACGGCUCAACCGUCAAACUGCCCCUGAAACUGCAAGGCUUGAGUCCGGGAGAGGAAGGUGGAAUUCCUGGUGUAGCGGUGAAAUGCGUAAAUAUCAGGAGGAACACCGGUGGCGAAGGCGGCCUUCUGGUCCGGUACUGACGCUGAGGCACGAAAGCUAGGGGAGCGAACAGGAUUAGAUACCCUGGUAGUCCUAGCCGUAAACGAUGGGCACUAGGUGUCGGAGGAGUCUACCCCUUCGGUGCCGCAGCUAAUGCAUUAAGUGCCCCACCUGGGGAGUACGAUCGCAAGGUUGAAACUCAAAGGAAUUGACGGGGGCCCGCACAAGCGGUGGAGCAUGUGGUUUAAUUCGAAGCAACGCGCAGAACCUUACCAACCCUUGACAUCCCGGUCGCGGUUUCCCGAGAGGGAUUCCUUCAGUUCGGCUGGACCGGCGACAGGUGCUGCAUGGCUGUCGUCAGCUCGUGUCGUGGGAUGUUCGGUUAAGUCCGGCAACGAGCGCAACCCACGUCUUUAGUUGCCAGCAUUUGGUUGGGCACUCUAAAGAAACUGCCGAUGAUAAGUCGGAGGAAGGUGUGGAUGACGUCAAGUCCUCAUGGCCCUUACGGGUUGGGCUACACACGUGCUACAAUGGUGGUGACAGUGGGUUAAUCCCCAAAAGCCAUCUCAGUUCGGAUUGUCCUCUGCAACUCGAGGGCAUGAA